GUUACACUGGAACAACCUCUUCAAGUGACGAGGACAGUGUGGUUGUUGCCAUCUGGAGACAGUCUUGCUGACACCGUGGUGUGGGACUUUCCAAAUGAACAGAGCACUCCCAGAAUGGACAACAGUUUGCCAGGAUCUCUCAGGCACCCACAACCAGCGUCUGAUCGGCAGAGAAUACCUGACUGCGCCAGACGUUGUUGCAGAACUCUCUGCAAAAAUAAAAAAUACCUCUUGCAGCAGGUUUAAUAUUAACCGAUCCAAUGUAUGGGAUGGAGCAAUCCGCGGCUUCAAACGGGC